UGUAGCUCAGGGGUAGAGCACUUGCCUAAAAUGCACAAGGUUCUGGGUUCAAUCCCCAGUA
rnacentral:tRNA from 1 species